GAGAAUAGCAUGUGCAAAGGUCCAGAGGUCAGAGAGAAGUUGUAGCAGAGUGUCAGAUGAGGUUUUCUGUUGAUCAGAAAUUUGAGAAGGACUGAGCUGGAUGGUUCUUGCUUGGGGUCUUUCAGGAGGCCACAGUCUGAUGCAGGCUGGGGCUGCAGUCAUCUGAAGGAAGGUCCAUCUCUGUCUACAGCCACACCACCCUGAGCGCGCCGGAUCUCAUCUGAAGGAAGGUCCAUUUCUAUAGUUACUCACUCAUGUAACUGACAAAGUGGUGCUGGCUGAAGGCUGGCUGCCUCCGGGCCUCUCUGCAUGGACCUUUCUAAGGAGCUGCUUAGAGCGUCCUCAUGACAUGACAGCUGUCUUUCGCCACGUGAGUGUAUCCAAGAGGCCAAGGUGGAAGCUACCAUGCCUUUCAUAACCCAGCCUUGGAAGUGACACACCUUCACUCCCACUGUAUUCUUGUGGUUGUGGCAACUACAUAGGUUUGUCUGGGUUCAAGGGGAGGAAGUGGACCCUACCUUUCAUUGUAUGAGUGCUACCAUCACACUGUAAGAAGAGCAUGAGAAAUGGGACAGAUCAGUACUUCCAUCUUUAGAAAAUAUAAUCUGCCAUACACCA